UACGCUGGCGGUGCGCAUAACACAUGCAAGUCGAGCGAGGGCUUAUUUCCCGCAAGGGAGAUGAGUUCCUAGCGGCGAACGGGUGAGUAACACGUGGGCAACCUUUCCUAUCGCGGGGGAUAACAGCGGGAAACCGCUGCUAAUACCGCAUGUUGUCACUGGUCGCAUGGCCGGUGAAGAAAGCAGCAAUGCACGAUGGGGUGGGCCCGCGGCCUAUCAGCUAGUCGGUGGGGUAACGGCCUACCGAGGCGAUGACGGGUAGCUGGUCUGAGAGGACGACCAGCCACACGGGGACUGAGACACGGCCCCGACUCCUACGGGAGGCAGCAGUGAGGAAUCUUCCGCAAUGGGCGAAAGCCUGACGGAGCGACACCGCGUGUGGGAUGAAGUCUUUCGGGAUGUAAACCACUGUCGGAGGGGAAGACAUCGACGGUACCCUCCAAGAAAGCCCCGGCUAACUACGUGCCAGCAGCCGCGGUAAUACGUAGGGGGCGAGCGUUAUCCAGAUUUACUGGGCGUAAAGCGCGUGUAGGCGGCUGGUUAAGCGUGAUGUGAAAUCUUCGGGCUCAACCCGAAAACUGC
rnacentral:rRNA from 1 species